UUAACGGCAUCCGGUUCGUCGUCAGCCUCCGCCGCUACCGCUCAAUGUACCGCAGGGGGCGUGCCCUCACGUGGCGAUAAAAGGUCCAUAUUUUAUAUAUAUUAAAAAAAAAAAGGUAAAGGACCGGGAAAGUAAAUAAAAAGGCCUAGGCGAAGCGUUGGGAGCCGGUAAUCCGAUUUCGGUUGCAAAUGGCCAUCGACUUGCCUAAAAUUACGGAAUCACCCUUCCACACCA
rnacentral:lncRNA from 1 species